UACGUAGGGAGCAAGCGUUAUCCGGAUUUACUGGGUGUAAAGGGCGCGCAGGCGGGCCGGCAAGUUGGAAGUGAAAUCUAUGGGCUUAACCCAUAAACUGCUUUCAAAACUGCUGGUCUUGAGUGAUGGAGAGGCAGGCGGAAUUCCGUGUGUAGCGGUGAAAUGCGUAGAUAUACGGAGGAACACCAGUGGCGAAGGCGGCCUGCUGGACAUUAACUGACGCUGAGGCGCGAAAGCGUGGGGAGCAAACAGGAUUAGAUACCCGAGUAACGGCUGACUG
rnacentral:rRNA from 1 species